AAUCUGGCACCUUCGGUGUCCGAGUUGUAAUUUGAAGAUUGUAACCUUGGGGUUGGCUCUUGUCUAUGUUUCUUGGAACAGGACGUCACAGAGGGUGAGAAUCCCGUGCGAUGAGAUGCCCAAUCCUAUGUAAGGUGCUUUCGAAGAGUCGAGUUGUUUGGGAAUGCAGCUCUAAGUGGGUGGUAAAUUCCAUCUAAAGCUAAAUAUUGGCGAGAGACCGAUAGCGAACAAGUACAGUGAUGGAAAGAUGAAAAGAACUUUGAAAAGAGAGUGAAAAAGUACGUGAAAUUGUUGAAAGGGAAGGGUUUGAGAUCAGACUCGAUAUUUUGUGAGCCUUGCCUUCGUGGCGGGGUGACCCGCAGCUUAUCGGGCCAGCAUCGGUUUGGGCGGUAGGAUAAUGGCGUAGGAAUGUGACUUUGCUUCGGUGAAGUGUUAUAGCCUGCGUUGAUGCUGCCUGCCUAGACCGAGGACUGCGAUUUUAUCAAGGAUGCUGGCAUAAUGAUCCCAAACCGCCCGUCUUGAA
rnacentral:rRNA from 2 species